rnacentral:rRNA from 1 species
AGUGAACGCUGGCGGUAGGCCUAACACAUGCAAGUCGAACGGCAGCACAGUAAGAGCUUGCUCUUACGGGUGGCGAGUGGCGGACGGGUGAGGAAUACAUCGGAAUCUACUUUUUCGUGGGGGAUAACGUAGGGAAACUUACGCUAAUACCGCAUACGACCUACGGGUGAAAGCAGGGGAUCUUCGGACCUUGCGCGAUUGAAUGAGCCGAUGUCGGAUUAGCUAGUUGGCGGGGUAAAGGCCCACCAAGGCGACGAUCCGUAGCUGGUCUGAGAGGAUGAUCAGCCACACUGGAACUGAGACACGGUCCAGGCUCCUGCGGGAGGCAGCAGUGGGGAAUAUGGGACAAUGGGCGCAAGCCUGAUCCAGCCAUACCGCGUGGGUGAAGAAGGCCUUCGGGUUGUAAAGCCCUUUUGUUGGGAAAGAAAAGCAGCAGGUUAAUACCCCGCUGUUCUGACGGUACCCAAAGAAUAAGCACCGGCUAACUUCGUG